UACGUAGGUGGCAAGCGUUGUCCGGAAUUAUUGGGCGUAAAGCGCGCGCAGGCGGUCCUUUAAGUCUGAUGUGAAAGCCCACGGCUCAACCGUGGAGGGUCAUUGGAAACUGGGGGACUUGAGUGCAGAAGAGGAGAGUGGAAUUCCUGGUGUAGCGGUGAAAUGCGCAGAUAUCAGGAAGAACACCCGUGGCGAAGGCGGCUCUCUGGGACGGUACUGACGCUGAGACGCGAAAGCGUGGGGAGCGAACAGG
rnacentral:rRNA from 1 species